rnacentral:rRNA from 1 species
GGCUCACCUAGGCGACGAUCCGUAACUGAUCUGAGAGGAUGAUCAGUCACACUGGAACUGAGACACGGUCCAGACUCCUACGGGAGGCAGCAGUGGGGAAUAUUCCACAAUGGGCGAAAGCCUGAUCCAGCCAUGCCGCGUGUGUGAAGAAGGUUUUCGGUUUGUAAAACUCUGUAAUUUGGGAGGAACGGCUUCAAUUUAAUACCUUUGUGCUUUGACGUUACCAUCAGAAUAAGCCCCGGCUAACUUCGUGCCAGCAGCCGCGGUAAUACGAAGGGUGCAAGCGUUAUUCGGAAUUAUUGGGCGUAAAGCGCGCGCAGGUGGUUUGGUAAGUUGGAUGUGAAAUCCCCGGGCUCAACCUUGGAAGGUUCAUCCAUAACUGCGAGACUUGAGUACGGAUAGAGGAGUAGGUGGAAUUUCCAAGUGUAGCGGUGAAAUGGCGUAGAUAUAGGAAGGAACACCCAGUGGCGAAGGCGACCCAUCCUGGUCUGAUACUGA